UACAAAACCCGCAUAUUUUAGACGCUUUUUCUUCGACGCUUUGGAUGUGGCAUCAGCGCACAAUUUUUAGAUCCGCUUUUUUCGACGUUUUUAGGUGUCGAAGGUUUGUUUCGACACAUUAAAGCGUCGAGAAAAUCACGAGUCUAACACGUGACUCCCUCACACCCUACUGCCCGCAAUUUUAAAAUUUUGUGAAAAAAAAGCGGGUUGUAUCACUCCCAAUUAUUUAGUAAAAAAAAAAGGAAAUACUCCCAAACCCAAUUAAACCACCCACUAUUGAAAUACGACUAAUAAACUUUGCUCGAUCUCUACUGCACUCUGCGUCUCUGCUCAUAGUCAAAGCUACAACAUUCAUCGCUUUUUUGUGUUAAAUUCUGGGUUUCUUGCUAAUUUUCAACGAAUUUAGGCGAUUUUGCUUUUCACUUUCAAAAAUUUCAGAGUAGAACAAGAAUCGAUCUCUUAUUGCAAGGGAUCUUUCAUUCAACAAACUAUGUGGCAGCUUGCCUAAGAGUUUUAAAUCUCUUUCAAGCCUUUCUACGCUGUAAAGAGAUGACUUAUCUAAGCAAGAGAGCAAGGGAAAUACUUGCUGCCACAGCUUAGCCGCAUGAUCCACUGUUAGCACAGUCACCAAUUACAACUACUGCACGUGAGUCAUCUACUACUGAAGUCGUUUCACAACCCACCAAAAAACAUUUUGCUAAGUCUGUUAGGUCUAGGGAGAGGUGACUUUAUUAAUAGUUUCUGGUAUCAAACUAUUUUCCUAUCUGAAUUUUCAUCUUGCUUCCCUAGCCAGAGGAGCUGGUGUAUUGGUGAUAACUUGAAUUUUGGUAAUGACUUCUCUAGUUCUAGUAAAGGAAUAACUUCUAACUUGGGAGACAUAAUGCACUUUUCUUAUUACAAAGCUUCUGCAAACUUCCUAAAUACAUCUAUUAUGUUGGGAUC